GCAGCAAUGGUGGAAUUGGUAGACACGCUAGCUUGAGGGGCUAGUGGCAGCGAUGCCGUGGAGGUUCAAGUCCUCUUUGCUGCA
rnacentral:tRNA from 1 species